rnacentral:rRNA from 1 species
AUUGAACGCUGGCGGCAUGCCUUACACAUGCAAGUCGAACGGUAACAGGUCUUCGGAUGCUGACGAGUGGCGAACGGGUGAGUAAUACAUCGGAACGUGCCCGAUCGUGGGGGAUAACGAAGCGAAAGCUUUGCUAAUACCGCAUACGAUCUACGGAUGAAAGCAGGGGACCGCAAGGCCUUGCGCGAACGGAGCGGCCGAUGGCAGAUUAGGUAGUUGGUGGGAUAAAAGCUUACCAAGCCGACGAUCUGUAGCUGGUCUGAGAGGACGACCAGCCACACUGGGACUGAGACACGGCCCAGACUCCUACGGGAGGCAGCAGUGGGGAAUUUUGGACAAUGGGCGAAAGCCUGAUCCAGCCAUGCCGCGUGCAGGAUGAAGGCCUUCGGGUUGUAAACUGCUUUUGUCAGGGAAGAAAUCUUCUGGGUUAAUACCUCGGGAGGAUGACGGUACCCAAAGAAUAAGCACCGGCUAACUUCGUGCCAGCCGCCGCCGUAACAC